rnacentral:tRNA from 1 species
GUGGGUGUAUCUCAGUGGUAGAGUGCAUGCUUAGCAAGCAUGGGGUCCUGGGUUCGAUUCCCCAGUACCUCCA